rnacentral:rRNA from 1 species
AUUGAACGCUGGCGGCAGGCCUAACACAUGCAAGUCGAGCGGAUGAAGGGAGCUUGCUCCUGGAUUCAGCGGCGGACGGGUGAGUAAUGCCUAGGAAUCUGCCUGGUAGUGGGGGAUAACGUCCGGAAACGGGCGCUAAUACCGCAUACGUCCUGAGGGAGAAAGUGGGGGAUCUUCGGACCUCACGCUAUCAGAUGAGCCUAGGUCGGAUUAGCUAGUUGGUGGGGUAAAGGCCUACCAAGGCGACGAUCCGUAACUGGUCUGAGAGGAUGAUCAGUCACACUGGAGCUGAGACACGGUCCAGACUCCUACGGGAGGCAGCAGUGGGGUAUAUUGGACAGUGGGCGAAAGCCUGGUCCAGCCAUGCCGCGUGUGUGAAGAAGGUCUUCGGAUUGUAAAGCACUUUAAGUUGGGAGGAAGGGCAGUAAGUUAAUACCUUGCUGUUUUGACGUUACCAACAGAAUAAGCACCGGCUAACUUCGUG